rnacentral:rRNA from 1 species
AGUCGGGAUCGGAUAAGCGCUGAAAGCAUCUAAGUGCGAAGCCGGCCACAAGAUUAGAUUUCUUGAGGGUCGUUGAAGACGACAACGUUGAUAGGAUGCAGGUGUAAAGCUGGAGACAGCAAAGCCGAGCAUUACUAAUUGCCCGAACACUUUCUUUA